GACGAACGCUGGCGGCGUGCCUAAUACAUGCAAGUAGAACGCACAGUUUAUACCGUAGCUUGCUACACCAUAGACUGUGAGUUGCGAACGGGUGAGUAACGCGUAGGUAACCUGCCUGGUAGCGGGGGAUAACUAUUGGAAACGAUAGCUAAUACCGCAUAAUAUUGAUUAUUGCAUGAUAAUUGAUUGAAAGAUGCUAUUGCAUCACUACCAGAUGGACCUGCGUUGUAUUAGCUAGUAGGUGAGGUAACGGCUCACCUAGGCGACGAUACAUAGCCGACCUGAGAGGGUGGUCGGCCACACUGGGACUGGGACACGGCCCAGACUCCUGCGGGAGGCAGCAGUAGGGAAUCUUCGGCAAUGGACGAAAGUCUGACCGAGCAACGCCGCGUGGGUGAAGAAGGUUUUCGGAUCGUAAAGCGCUGUUGUAAGAGAAGAACGGGUGUGAGAGUGGAAAGUUCACACUGUGACGGUAUCUUACCAGAAAGGGACGGCUAACUACGUG
rnacentral:rRNA from 1 species